rnacentral:lncRNA from 1 species
CUUCUGAGGUUGCCUACAUAUCCUUGGUUAUAAAGGAAUCAGGUCAGUGUAGUUUGGGAAGUGAGGUGAUGGAGUACUGAGGUUGAGAUCGGUCGAGGUGCCAUCGAGGUUCCGGUCCGCGGUCCCGUUUAUUGCAUCAAAAUCUAAAUUAAAAAGACUAACUAAGCCUAUAAGCUACGAGUUACAAGAUUCCUAUCUAUAAAUCUUUUGAAACUUGAUCUUGAGUCUUGGCUAGGUCUUGUUGCAGACUCUAAUCUAAAUCUUAAUGCUUGUCAGCUGCAUAUGCUGGUUCUUUCUUCAGCAUUUGGAUCAAAGAGGGACAUGCGAAACUUUUGACUUUGAAUCAAAUUUGAGCAGUCUGCAUUUUCUUCUUCGAACAUCCUGAGUUCGGUUCUUUUUGCUCUUUUGUUAUUUUCCUUUAUUCUGUAUUGAGACUCACGCUUCUGGUCAUCUCGAACCCUGUGCCAUGAGGUAAAACCUGCUCAGACACCAAAAAUAAACAAACGAACGAAAUUUUAUGCCCCAAUUUUUACUAGGAAAAUUUCGUGAGUUAUUUGUAACACAAAUCUAAGCUAUUUCUUUAUUGAAAAAAAUAAAAAUCGGGAUUCUAUAUCCUUUGGAAAGAUUGCCAGGUUAUGUUGGGAAGGAGAAAAGGUCCCUGCUGGGGGUAAGAGGAGCAUCCAUGGGUUAUGCCGGGAUGGGAAUGAAGGGUCCCUACUGGGGAUGAAAGGAAAAAGACACGGGUUAUGUCGGGAUGAAAUGAAAAAAGAUUCCUAGGUUCUGCUAGGGAGAUCCGCGGGUUAUGCCGGGAUGAAUGAAAAAAGUUUCUGGGUUAUGCCAGGGGUCCAUGGGUUAUGCCGGGAGAAGAAGGCUCCUCGGUUAUGCUAAGGGGAUCUGCGAGUUAUGCCGGGAUAGGAAGAAAAAUGGUCUACUAAGGAUAAAAAAAAAAUGAUCCUUGGGUUAUGCCAAGGGGAAGAAAAUAAAAAUACACUCAGGUUAUGCUGGAGAUAAAUGGAAAAUAACCCUCAGGUUAUGCCGUACGGGAAAGAAAAGACCCUCAGGUUAUGCUGGGAGGAAAAGAAAAGACCCUCGGAUGCUAGGGAGAAAAAGGAAAGAUGAUCCUCGGGUUAUGCCGAGGAGGUCCACGGGUUAUACCGGGAUAAAAGGGAAAAGGUCCUAUGCUACCAUGAUUUUGGGUUUUUUUUGAAUUAUCCUAGGGGAAAAUUCGUCAGACUAGGUUUUCUAUCUUAGGAGAAAAAAUUCAUCAGACAAAGAUUUUGACCCUAGGAGAAAGUUCAUCAGACUAGGUCUUUCUUUCUUCUUUUGUUUUUGGUAUCUUAGGAGAAAGAUUUAUCAGACUAAGAUUCUGACCCUAGGAGAAAGUUCAUCAGACUAGGUCUUCUAUCUUAGGACAAAUAUUCAUCAGACUAAGAUUUUGGUCUUAGGAGAAAGUUCAUCAGACUAGGUCACUUUUUUUAUAUAUCUUAGGAGAAAGAUUUAUCAGACUAAAAUUUUGAUCCUAGGAGAAAGAUUCAUCAGACUAGGUCUUCUAUCUUAGGAGAAAAAUUCACUAGACUAAGAUUUUGAUCCUAGGAGAAAGCUCAUCAGACUAGGUCUUCUAUCUUAGGAGAAAAAUUCAUCUGACUAAGAUAUUGAUCCUAGGAGAAUGUUCAUCAGACGAGGUCACUCUUUUGGUAUCAUAGCAGAAAGAUUCAUCAGACUAAGAUUUUGAUCUUAGGAGAAAGUUCAUCAGACUAGGUCUUCUAUCUUAGGAGAAAAAUUCAUUAGACUAAAAUUUUGAUCCUAGGAGAAAGCUCAUCAGACUAGGUCUUCUAUCUUAGGAGAAAAAUUUAUCAGACUAAAAUUUUGAUCAUAGGAGAAUGUUCAUCAAACUAGGUCACUCUUUUGGUAUUUUGGGAGAAAGAUUCAUCAGACUAACAUUUUGAUCCUAGGAGAAAGUUCAUCAGACUAGGUCUUCUAUCUUAGGAUAAAAUUCAUCAGACUAAGAUUUUGAUCCUAGAAGAAAGUUCAUCAGGCUACGUCAUUUUCGGUAUCUUAGAGAAAGAUUCGUCAGACUAAGAUUUUGAAUGGGAGAAAAAUCCAUCAGACUAGGACUUUUUAUCCUAGGAGAAAAAAUAAUGUGAAGAUCAAUGGCAAGAUUUUAUGCCCAUGCAGACAAAUAUAUACCAAGAAUUGAGAAACUUACCUUUGUCGGCUCUACUCUUCUUGUUUUUUUCUUCUCUUUUUUGUUGUUUUUGUUCGUUUUGUUUUUUAUCUUUCUUUCUUCUUUGUUUGUGAACCACUUUCCUUGCGCUGCUUUGUUGCUGCUGCAAACAAAGAACACUUUGUCAGUUUUGAAAAUGGUGGUCGGUUUGUGGCCUUGAGUCUUGAGCAGCUUGGCUUUUGCUUGAUCAGCCUGAGUCGGUCUUAAAAGACCUUUGUUCUACACCAACUCUGAUUGUUUCGCACCCAGUACCAUUUUGUAUUUGAGGCUCAAUCAACCCUGUCGCGAUUGGAGAUCUUAGCUCAGGUGACCUUUUCUGAUAUCUUCAAAAACUUUCUGCUUUUUGAGCAAUUUGUCUGUUAGAGAGAAUCACAAGUUAUCUUUGCUUGCGCCAAGCAGGCUGACAAGAGUCUUUUUGGAAAGCCUUUUCAAAAAUCCUCAAGGUAUGUUGACAGUAACAACUGAGUGCGCUGGCAAAAUUUAAUUUGUGCAACUGAAAAGAUGGUAGCAGAUUUUGAAAUCAUUUCUUGCUCAUUUUGACAAGGGUGGACUUAAAGUGAAGGACACAAUUAUGAAAAGAAACGAAUAUUAAAAAGAAAUUCCCCCUGUCGUCUUUUGAGGAAGCCCUUGCAUGAACCCUCAAGGCAUGCUGACAAUAACAACUGAGUAGUUGGCCAAAUUUACUUUGUGCAACUGAAAACCUGGUAGCAUAUUUUGAAAUAUUUUCUUACUUGUUUUGAUGAGGACAGACUCAGAGUGAAGGACAUAAUGAUGCAAAGAAACGAAUAUUGACAAGAAAUGCCCCCUGUCGAAAGGACAAAAAGAAGCUUUUUUUUUAUUUUUUUCCUUCUUUUUUUUUUCCAUCAUUCUUUUCAAUAACUAGCCUUAAUGAUCAUGACAUACAUUUUGGACUUAACGGCCUGAUCUAUCCAACUAAUCCAAUCUUCCCGUUUACCAUUUUUAUGACCUUUGAAGUCGGGCUUGUUCGUGCCAAUCCUUGCAUCAGUUUCAUGACUUACUUUCGACUAGUGGUGCCCCGAGGAGUUUUCACCAACAAGACUUUCUCAUUUAUUUAUCUCUUCUUAUUGUUGCUUUACAGUGCCCAUGAGGGUUUUCACUAGUAAGACUCUCUUAUUUAUUUUUUUCUUUUUCCUGUGCUUUUUCUUUUUCUUUCCGCUUUUUUUUUUUGGAGAGCAACUUGAUAGUGUUCUAUGUCGCGUGACAUACGUUGCUCAUUGCCUGCGUUUCUUGGCAUUCUUGAAAGCUGAUCAUGAGGUAUUUAUUUGGAAGGUUUUUGGAUGUGGGUAGGAAGAAAGGGUCGGCAUGACGACUCAAAGUUGACUUAAAGUGAAGGGUUGUAGACUUACAACUUUUGGAAUCGUCUCAUCAAAAGUGAAAUAAAUUUUUUUUGCCCCACUUUUAACCAUUGGUGUUUUUGGAACAUUUCUCUCUUUUUUUUUUGUGAAUUCUUAUUUGGUUGGAUCGAAUUGUGAGGCUGCCUACGUAUCCUUUUUUUAAAGGAAUCAGGACUAACGUAGUUCAAACAUCCAACUUAAAGUAUAUUUCAUCUUUCUUUCCGCUUCUCUUUUCAUUUUUCUUUUUCUUUUUUUUUCUUUUUCUUUUUUGAUUUUUUAUUUUUAUUUUUAUUUUUAUUUUUUGCUUGCCCCAGCUUCUUUGUUUUGAGGGCAUGGACCUUUGAUAAUUCUUUCUUUUUGUUUUUCGCUUGGAACCUUCUAAAAGCUGCCCCAGUUUAUACUCUUGGGACAUGGACUUUCUUUCUUUUUUUUUCGUUUCUUUUCAUCUUUUUUUGACUCUUGACUCUAAACGUGAUUCCAAACGAGGGUGAUCAAAGAAAAUAAUACCGGAUUAAAAGGGGUUGCAAAGGAUAUGAAGUGUUUGGAUAACAGAAAAAGGGCCUCCUAGCCUCGACACUGCCAAUCAUAUUAUCUUUCACGACCGCAGCAUUGGUGAACAUGUUUAAUGUCUUGGUGUGUUGUGGCCGAAAGACACUUUUCAUCCCUUAAUGUCAAACUUUCCAAUAAACAUCAAUUGAUUAAAUAUUCUCAAGCCCGAUCUUCACAAUGAAUUGAAGGUGAAUUUUGCUCGACCUUAAUUCCCAAGUAUUUCAAGUCUUUAUUCAUCCUCAAAAGUGCUUCUUUUUUUUUCAGUUAUCCAAUUCCAGAUUAAAUGAGUUUCUAAGAUCUGGCCAAAAUUUCCGGAUGCAUUUCAUGUUAUUAAAACUAGCGCGAAAUAACUAAGAACGGAAUGCCACAAACUUCUCUUUUUUUCAGUUAUCCAAUUCCAAGUUAAAUCAGUUUCUAAGAUCUGGCCAAAAUUUCAGGAUGCAUGUCAUGUUAUUAGAACUAGCGCGGAAAGAACUAAGAACAAAAUGACACAAAAGGACAAACUGAAUUUUAUUGAAUAAGGAUGGAAUGGUAACGACUAAACAAGAAACCUAAGAUGAUCCGAGUUACAACCCUAAAAUAACCCGGAUAAUGAAAAUAGCAAUAAAAUAGACAGACAUGACUCAUACAAAUAAAAUAGAAGGAUAGAAGGGUCUGACUCAAUAAAGAAAAUAAAAUCUAGAUCAGAACCCUGAAAUAACCCAGAUAACAGAAAAACAUCAAAACAAGCUACCAAGAUUACCUCCUAAGACAUGAGGGAAUGACUUUUCAAUUGCUAAGCUUGACAUUGAGCCACAAAUUUGCUCAACGGAAUCACCAUGGCCUCCUCCAAUUUCAGACGGCAGGUUCUCGAGAGGAUUAUCAUACUCGAUGACACCAGACAUCAUCCUCACAAAGUAUGCAUCAUCAUGUGCAGGUAAAGGAUUCUGCAUGAUAUUCUGGGUGUCAUUGUCUUGAAUCACAAUCAGUUUUUCCUGGAUCAUCCUCUCUAUUUCUCUUUUCAAAUCCCGACAAAUUUCAACAUCGUGCCCCAGGGCAUCAGAAUGGUAUUCACACCUUUUAGAAGGGUCAAAGCUUCUUGCACGUGGGUCCACAUGAUUUUGAGAAAUGGGUGCAAUCAUGCCAUAAUGCUUUAGCUUCUCAAAUAAGCUUGCAUAAGACUCUCCUAUUGGUGUAAAAUUAUCCUUCAACCUUUGUUCCCUUCUAUGCCCCUGGGUUGGAUAGUGCAAUCAUGCCAUAAUGCUUUAACUUCUCAAAUAAGCUUGCAUAUGACUCUUCUAUUGGUGUAAAAUUAUAUUUCAACUUUUGUUCCCUUCUAUACCCCUGGCAUGGAUGUGGGUUAUAAGGCAUUUGAAAAUUUUGUGGAGGCUGGUGGAGAUAUUUUGAUCCUCGUGCUCGACUUCUUGGGUGAUUUGGUGCCUAGACAACAUACUGAGGUGGAUCAACAAGGUAUGGUGGGUUCUGAGGUGGAUAGUAAUGCUCAGGGGAGUCAUCGAAAACCUGAUGAGGCUACGCAUACCUUCGAGGUGUUCUCAUGGAACCUCUUCUCGACCCUGUUGUCAUCAUGAUUUCUUCAUCCGUCUCAUUUAUGUCACUUUUAUUCUUUUAUUCUUUUUUGACUUUUUUUCUUUUCUUUUUCUUUUUCAUUUUUUGACUCUUGACUCUAAACUUGAUUCCAAAAGAGGGUGGUCAAAGAAAAUAAUAUAUGUUCAAAGUGGUGACGAAUGGCAUAAAGUGUUUAGGUAGCAGAAAAAGGGCCUCCCAACCUUGAGAACGCCAAACAUAGUAUCUUUUUGCGAUCACAACAUUGAGGAACAUGUCUGUCAUCUUGGUGUGUUGCGGUCAAAAGACACUUUCCAUCCCUUAAUGUCAAACUUUCCAAUAGAUUUCAAUUGAUUAAACAUUCUCAAGCUCGAUCUUCAAAAUGAUUUGAAGGUGGAUUUUACUCGACCUUAAUUCUAAAGUAUUUUAACUCUUUAUUCAUCCUCAAAAGUGUUUUUUGUCUUUUCUUUUUCUGUUAUCCAAUUCCAGAUUAAAUAAGUUUCUACGAUCUUGCCAAAAUUUCCGCAUGCAUGUCAUGUCAUUAGAACUAGCAACAAAAGAACUAGGAAUAGAAUGACACGAAAGGAAAAACUGUAUUUUAUUGAAUAAAGAUGGAAGGUUUGACAAUUAAACAAGAAACCUAAAAUCCGAGUUACAAACCUAAAAUAAACCGAAUAAUAAAAAUAGCAACAAAACAGUCAAACAUGACUCCUACAAACAGAAUAGAAUGACAGAAGGGUUUGACUCAAUAAAAAAAAUAAAAUCUGGAUCACAACCCUGAAAUAACCUAGAUAGAAGAAAAAACAUCAAAACAAGCUAGCUUGAUUCCUUCCUGUAAAGAGAGAAUGACUUUUCAAUUUUUAAGCUUGACAUUUCACCACAAAUUUGCUCAUCAAAAUCACCAUGGCAUUCUCCCAUUUCAGCCGGCAAAUUCCCGAGAGGAUUCUCAUACUCCAUGUCACUACUCAUCACCCUUACAAAGUGUGCAUCAUCAUGUGCAGGUAAAGUACUCUGUGCGAUACUCUGGGUGUCACUGUUUUGGAUCAUAAUCAGGUUUUCUUGGAUCAUCCUUUCUAUUUCUCUUUUCAAAUCCCGAUAAUUUUCAAUAUUGUGCCCCUACGCAUUGGAAUGGUAUUCACACCUUUUGGAAAGGUCAAAGCUUCUUUCAAACAAGCUCGCAUAGGACUCUCCUAUUGGUGUAAAAUUAUCUUUCAACUUUUGUUCCCCUUUAUACCUCUGGCUUGGAUGUGGGUAAUAGGGCAAUUGAAGAUUUUGUGGAGGAUGGAGGAGAUUUUGUUGUACUCGCGCUCGCCUUCUGGGAUGUUAUGGUGGUCAGGCAUCAUAUUGAGGUGCAACAACAGAGUAUUGAGGGUUCUGAGGUGGAUAAUAUUGCUUAGGGGAGUCAUGAAAAACCUGAAGAGGCUGAUCAUAUCUUCGAGAUGUUCUCCUGGGAUCUAUUCUCGACCCUGAUGUCAUCAUGAUUUCUUCAACCUUCUCAUUCGAGUCACCAAAAUUACCAAAAUUAUCUGAUUCAAUCUAGUCAACCUGAGUUGUGGCUUUGAGAACUAGUUGACUUAUAAUUUUGCCUGUCUUAAGACCAUUCUCAACCAUUUCCCCCAUUUCGAGAAGGAUUUACCCACAGCGGAUAUCAUGUUUUGAAAAUAAUCCAGCUCUUGAGCCUGAGGAAAGACAGUGAUUAGCUCGUGGUCAUCCAUGGGUGGCUUAGAUCUAGCUUCUUGCUCUCUCUAUUUAAUAGCGUAUUCCCUGAAACUUUCACUUUGGUUUCUUCUUCAGGUUUGAAAGGGAAUUUCAGUUUGGGGCAAUGUCCAUGUCGUAUUGAAACUGUUUGACAAAGGCCUGCACCAUGCUAUCCUAGACGUACCAGCGAGAUGUGUCCUGAUCCAGAAACUAUUCAGAUAAUACUCCCGUAAGGCUUUCCCCAAAAUAAGUUAUUAGCAAUUCUUCAUUUCUUUCCACACCUCUCAGUUGAUUGCAAUACCUUUUUAGGUGGGACUAUGGGGUCUCCAUGUCUAUCAUACUUUUCAAAUUUGGGAGUCUUGAAACCAGGCGGCAAGUGGACAUCGGGGAACAUACAUAGAUGUUUGAAGGCAACACUAUUUUGACCUGCCAACCCUUACAUGUUUUCAACCGUUGUUCUAAGAUUUUCACUCUUUGGGUCAUUUCUCUAUAUUUCAUCUUUCGGGCAGGCUUCUCGAUGUUUGCAAGAAGAUCAAACGAGUACGAGUGAUAUUCAGGAGAGUGGUACUGCUCUUGCUGUGUUGCAAAUUGUGACUCAUGACAAGGUUCUCUUUGGCCAUUGGCCCAUGAUUGACACAUUUUGGUCAUUUGCUGUUUCAGUAUUCUAUUUUCCUCAACCAUAGUAGACUCUUGUCGAACCCUCUGACCGUGAGUCUCUUGAGCAAUUGUAACAGUCUUGAUGUCAAUUAUCAUUUUUUGUUGUAUCUUGUGUUUCAGCUUACCACAAACCAACCACCUCAAACUUUCUUCACAAUUCAAAACAAAAGAUAUGUUAGAAUGGACUCAGUCAUCCUUACUAUUAUCAAUAAUUUUUUUCCUUUUCUUCAUUUUUUCAUUUUUUUGUUUGGUUGAUCGAAUCUGAUAUGGGUUUCCUACGUGUCAUAUGGGAACAUGAAUCCGAUAUUGCGUAGUUCAGGAAGAUUAGGAAUAAAGGAAAUAAACUAAAUUUAUGUUUUUCUGGAUUUGGAAUUUUCUCUUCUAUUUUUUACUUUUUUUUUCAAAAGAAAGACUUAUAAAGAAGAUAGAGCAUAUUUUUGGAUUUUGAUUUUUCUUCAGUAAUUGCAAAGAAAGACUUCUAAAGAAGAUAUAUUUUUUUUUGAAUUUCGACUUUUUAUUGUUUUUUUUUUAAUUUCGAUAGAAAAAUUUCUAAAGAAGAAGGAAAGAUAUUUUUGCCUUUAUGGAUUUUUAUUCUGAAGUUAGGAAAGAAGUUCUUCGAAAGAAAAAGAAAGUAUUUUUAAAUCAUGAAUUUUCUUUUCAAUUUUCCGAAGAAGAAUAAAAAUAUGUUUUUGCAUUUUUUGAUUUUGAGAAGCAACUAAAAGAAAAAAAAUUUGAAUUUUUUUUUAAAAACUAGAAUCUUAAAGAAAAAUUUUUCUAAAGAAGGAAGUAAAAGAAUUUUUUUGGAUUUUUAAAAAUUGGGGCCGGAACCGAUGAGGUUUGCUUACGUAUCUCACAUCCGGUAAGAAUAAGAUCCGCGUAGUUCUGCCAGUUUUAACGGAACAGGAAAACAUGACACUUGAAAAUUUUGGUUCAUUUUGAAAUGACUUUUUUUUCCAGAUUUGGCAGAGUUUCAACAUAUUUCAAAUACCUACAUCUACUCUUUUCUUUUCUUUUUUCUCUUUUUUUUAAUUUUUUUUUAUUUUCUUUCCCUAUUCUAAUCAACAUGUAAGCCUGAACAGAUAGAUACACAAGUAGCACAUAAGAUGCAUCAGGAUGGUCUUUUAAUUUGGGUACACAUGUCCUAGACGGACCUAACCCAUGUGUUGAGUCCCCAAAGUCAAAUGUACGUGAUGCAAACAAACGUUCCUACAAGGAAUCCGGCAUGAGUCUGAGUUAUUCUAAGUAUAAAACCUGGGUAUACUGCUCUAGACUUGUGCACCCGAGCGGACAACUCGAGCCGAGGAGGGGGCUAUGUACCGGGAACCAAAAGGCUAUCCGGCUUAGUAACUUUUCUGAGCCUCUUUCUUAUUUCAAGUUAUGACACUAACAGAAUAAGGAGUCUCGACCAGCAAGCACAUCCCCAAAGAUGAGAAGAGAAGGAUUUCGUAGCAUUUUAUAUAUAGUUCAGAUAACAUUAAGGCGGUAAAAGCAUCAUUUAGCACAUCAGGCUCAAACAUGUAGGAAAAUCAUAUAAUAAAUAAAGCCAAUCAUAACAGCUAUUCUAAGCUCAAAUUCUUAAACUCUGAAUCGAAGUUUAGGGUUUGGAUCCCCAGCAGAGUCACUAGAGCUGUCACACCUCCUUUUUUCUACACCCUAGAAGGGGAGAUAAAGGAGUUUAUUCCAAUUUAAAGUGACAAAAAACAGAAUUAUUUUAUUUAAAAUUCAGAGUUGCCACUUGGAUAAUUUAUGGUUUCCCUGUCACCGGUAUAAAUCCCGAAUCGAAAAAAGAUUGACUUUGUUUUAUAGUCCGCGAACAUAGAAAUUUGGGUAAAGAAUUCUGUUAAGCGGUAGAAGGUGUUAGGCAUUCCCGGAUUCCGUGGUUCUAGCACGGUCCCUCAACUGUUAUAUUUGGCUUAAUUACCUUGAUUUUAAUACAUUUUAAACCUAUGUAAAAUUUUUAACUUUAUAACCGCUUUUAUUUAUUUUAAGGAAGAUUGCAACGUCAUUUAAAAUACGUUUUGAACCACGUCACAUAAAUGCACCCGCGGUCCCCGACAUAUUUUAUCUAACGUUGUUGAGAUUUGGAUUUGGAUCACAUAAAUGUGCACCCGAGUUUAGGAAGGUGAAUUGUUUAACUAAUGCGCCUAAAGCAAUUACGCGUUUUUUUUAAUUUUGUGAAGGCCAUGGAAGAUUCAACUAAAUGGCACAUCUCGAUUUCUAAAGGAUUAAAAUUAAUUAAACGAGGGCCAUGGGUUUUGAUAUUUUGUUUGGCAUGGUGCUCCUUAAAUUAUUUCAAAGGAUUUGAUUCUUCGAAAUUAUUAUGAUCGGGUUACAUAAAAUGCACCCCCGAAUUGGAUUCACGUAUCGUAACCAUGCCACGGAAACUGUACCCAUGACCAUGAUAAUUGAUUGAAUUAUACUAAUGAAAUAUAAAUAAGGAGUAGUUACAUAUAAUCAGAAUCAUGUCAUUGCUAACGAUUAUUGAAAUACUAAUGACAUCUAAUAAAAAGUAGUUUACAUAUAAUCAAAUCUCAUAGUUGUCCAGACAUGUUCGAAUAGAUUCAUUUAUACUAAUGACAUCUAAAUACAAAUGAUUUACAACCAGAAAGAAAUAGGCACGAAGAGAAAUCGAGGGAUUAAUUGCUGGCCCUCACAAUUUUGGAAUUGAAAAAUACUUGAUUCACAAUGGCGGAUACAUGUUGUCACAUGGGUUCUUAGCUUUUGAAAACAAGAUUACUACUUAUAUAUAACACACAAAAAGCCAAUUUAAUCAAGAUCUUAUCAGAUUUAUAUUAAGGUUUAAAUUUACACAAAAUACAAAGAUAGCAUUGUUCUACGUAGAACACAAUGGCAGGCCCAAGUAUACUAUCACAUUUAUAGCUUAUGAAUAAACCUCAACUUCAACAACAAUUGUAUUAAACAAUUAGUUUUUCCCUUCUCUUAGCUUCAAAGAUCAACAGCAUAGAGACGUUUGAAAAAACUUAAACAAAAAAAUGCUAGAUCUAUAAAAAAACAAUACAACAACUUACAUCUCAUUCAUGAUUUCUAUUUAAGACAAAGGGUAUAAGUGGACAUACCUAAACAGCAACAAAUAAAUCCUCAAUCUGAAAAGAAGAUGAUGAAACCCAGCUACAAAUGAAGCAAAAUUAGCAGGAGAAACAGCAACAGUCCUCAACUCAGCUUUUGAACGAACUAUUCUCGAAAUGACCUCAACUCGACCAAAUGCAAUCCAUUUUUGUAAAAGAAAAUCAAACAUCAAGAUGAACGAUGAAGAACAAAGAUAUCUUUGUCCCUAUAUUUCGUUUGAAACUUAAAUAAAAUUGGAGCGGCAGAUCGAAGCUUCUUUUUAUUUUCCUAAGAGAGGGAUCAGGUGGGGCUGUUGGUUGUUGAGGUUUCCUAGAGGGGAAAGGUUCUGUUCUUCUUUUGCGAUUUUUGACCGAGAAGAAGAUGGGAGCGCCCCCUUUUUUUUGUUCUUCAGAGAAGGGGAGGGUCUAUCUUAUUCUCCUUUUUUUUUCUCUAGGCCUAAAUCUAGGUUUUAAUAUAAAG